UGCAGAAGAAGCGUUGAUCAGAGACUCCAUAGCCAGGGAAUCGAAAGCUGGAGCGGAGAGAAGCGAAUCGCAGAGGAGAAGCCUCCGUAGGACAGCUUGAGAAUCAAAAUAUCGCGGGUAAGCGCGCAGAGCUGUUAAGGACACGAAGGAUUUAUAGCCAAUGUGGGCUCAAAUUUCCGGCAAUCGGCCCAUUACGGUUCUAAAGUCUUCCUUGUCUAGUCGGGUGUACGCGGCCGGAUCGUUCUUCUCGGUUGCAUCAUGACAUUCUUCUAUAUUGGCCCAUAUGUAGCUCGAUGACGCCUCUUGAGGGUCGUAGCUUUGCUUGUCUCGACGUGAAUGUCACAACCUACUCUCUUUAUAAAUGUCAGUGACAUUCUUCCUCACUUACAUUAGUCAUCGUUCUCGAUGAUUUUUCCAGGCACAGAAAAUGAACCAUUAAACUAUAGAUAUACACUAAAGUUUGUU